rnacentral:rRNA from 1 species
GAUGAACGCUAGCUACAGGCUUAACACAUGCAAGUCGAGGGGUAACGAGAGGAAAGCUUGCUUUCCUUGUCGACGACCGGCGCACGGGUGAGUAACGCGUAUCCAACCUGCCCCCAACUAGGGAAUAACCUUGCGAAAGUGAGACUAAUACCCUAUAAUUUCCUAAGAUGUCAUCUGACGAGGAAUAAAGAUUUAUCGGUUGUGGAUGGGGAUGCGUCUGAUUAGCUUGUUGGCGGGGUAACGGCCCACACAGGCAACGAUCAGUAGGGGUUCUGAGAGGAAGGUCCCCCACAUUGGAACUGAGACACGGUCCAAACUCCUACGGGAGGCAGCAGUGAGGAAUAUUGGUCAAUGGGCGGAAGCCUGAACCAGCCAAGUAGCGUGCAGGAUGACGGCCCUAUGGGUUGUAAACUGCUUUUAUACAGGAAUAAAGUUAGCCACGUGUGGUUAUUUGUAGGUACUGUAUGAAUAAGGACCGGCUAAUUCCGUGCCAGCCGCCGCCGUAA